AUGCCAAAUGCUCAUACAAGUUUCAUUCAGGAUUCAUUGGUUGAAAAAAACUUAAAAUGUCAAAAACCAUUACAAAUCUGUGUUCUUGCAAAAGAAAUUCCAAGUGAAAAUUAUAAAGAAACUAUAAGACUUUUCAAUAAUGUUAUGCUCCCUGUAAUCUUGUUUUCCCUUCAAGCUUUCCAACACUCAAAUCAUGUCCAAGCUUUCGAUUAG